rnacentral:rRNA from 1 species
UACGAAGGGGGCUAGCGUUGCUCGGAAUGACUGGGCGUAAAGGGCGCGUAGGCGGCUCAUACAGUCAGGCGUGAAAUUCCUGGGCUCAACCUGGGGACUGCGCUUGAGACGUGUGGGCUUGAGUGAGGAAGAGGGUCGUGGAAUUCCCAGUGUAGAGGUGAAAUUCGUAGAUAUUGGGAAGAACACCGGUGGCGAAGGCGGCGACCUGGUCCUUGACUGACGCUGAGGCGCGAAGGCGCGGGGAGCGAACGGG